rnacentral:rRNA from 1 species
GAGUUUGAUCAUGGCUCAGGAUGAAUGCUGGCGGCGUGCCUAACACAUGCAAGUCGAGCGGUAACAGGGGUAGUUUACUACCUGCUGACGAGCGGCGGACGGCUGAGUAACGCGUGGGAACAUGCCCCAAAGUGAGGAAUAACUGCCCGAAAGGGUAGCUAAUGCCGCAUAUGGUCUUCGGAUUAAAGGAUUUAUCCGCUUUGGGAGUGGCCUGCGUACGAUUAGAUAGUUGGUAAGGUAAUGGCUUACCAAGUCUACGAUCGUUAGCUGGUCUGAGAGGAUGACCAGCCAGACUGGAACUGAGACACGGUCCAGACUCCUACGGGAGGCAGCAGUGAGGAAUCUUCCACAAUGGGCGAAAGCCUGAUGGAGCAACGCCGCGUGCAGGAUGAAGGCCUUAGGGUUGUAAACUGCUUUUAUAAGUGAAGAAUUUGACGGUAACUUAUGAAUAAGCACCGGCUAACUAC